GUGUGACUGCGUACCUUUUGUAUAAUGGGUCAGCGACUUAUAUUCUGUAGCAAGGUUAACCGMAUAGGGGAGCCGSAGGGAAACCGAGUCUUAAUUGGGCGUUAAGUUGCAGGGUAUAGACCCGAAACCCGGUGAUCUAGCCAUGGGCAGGUUGAAGGUUGGGUAACACUAACUGGAGGACCGAACCGACUAAUGUUGAAAAAUUAGCGGAUGACCUGUGGCUGGGGGUGAAAGGCCAAUCAAACCGGGAGAUAGCUGGUUCUCCCCGAAAGCUAUUUAGGUAGCGCCUCGUGAAUUCAUCUCCGGGGGUAGAGCACUGUUUCGGCUAGGGGGCCAUCCCGGCUUACCAACCCGAUGCAAACUGCGAAUACCGGAGAAUGUUAUCACGGGAGACACACGGCGGGUGCUAACGUCCGUCGUGAAGAGGGAAACAACCCAGACCGCCAGCUAAGGUCCCAAAGUCAUGGUUAAGUGGGAAACGAUGUGGGAAGGCCCAGACAGCCAGGAUGUUGGCUUAGAAGCAGCCAUCAUUUAAAGAAAGCGUAAUAGCUCACUGGUCGAGUCGGCCUGCGCGGAAGAUGUAACGGGGCUAAACCAUGCACCGAAGCUGCGGCAGCGA
rnacentral:rRNA from 1 species